rnacentral:ncRNA from 1 species
UAGUGGAGGAAGGUUCCACCCGGAUAUUUGUCGGUAGGUCCGGUAGCUGACGAGCGGUUUUGGCGAGCGAUUGCUGGGAUCGAAGCCUCGUGACAAAGGCCGCGUGGCGGCUGAGCGAUCCGGCGGGCCGCAAUGUGA